rnacentral:lncRNA from 1 species
AAAAAACUAAAAUAAAGCCCAUGAGAAAUUUAAUAACUAGAGCUAAUUACUGCAACUAUUUAUUUUUAAAGUAAUUUCUAUUAGCUUUUCUGUCCUUAAGACCUAUGCAAAUUCUUGUUGAGAUAAUUGGAAUACUCUGAAAUCUUUUGAUGUCUGCAUUCCUGGAAUCAUUGUGUGGUAGGUAGCUAGCUGCGUACUAUCAUCCAUCUGCUCAUGUGUGGGAUUUCCUGAUGGAUGUCUGUCUUCCUGGCCUCCUUCGCAGUUAAACUGAGGACACAUGGCGUGCUCUGGCCAACAGCCUGUGAACAGGAAGUUGAUUGAGUUCUGUUGAUGCAACCAGGGCCAACUAGUUCAUCACACUCAACUUCCCUUGAUGCAGUAACCUCAGAGGUCAUGUGACCAAGAUGCUGCCGUGGUAAAGGCCUGAGGCUAGAGUACCUGCCUUAGACUUGGUGGCCAUGGGAAAUGCAUCUUAAGUUUUGGCAAAUCACCGAGAUUUCAGUUCAUUUCUGUGGUAAAACCAGACCUGUUCUGACUAAGGCUAUGUGUGAGUCUCCUUCCCUUCUUUACCACAGACCAGGAUGACAUACAUUCUCUCAAAAUUCCUCUCUAACACAAUCAAUUCUGUCUGUGUCUUCAUCAGCAUUCUACUCAUAAUGCUCUCUGCCCUCUGGGAGAAGAAAUUUCCAGUAAAACAAGCUAACACCCUAAUUAGAUGCUCAUGGUGGUGGGGGGCAGAUUUGGAUUUCAGAUAAAGAUAAGUUGGCUGUGAGAGCAAAAUGGAUGAUAGUAAAGUUAGUAACAUUGAGUUAAUAUGUCAUAAUACCUAACAUGUAUGUAGUACUUUAUAGUUUUUCAAAGUAUUUAAACGUUUUUAUGUGUGUAUAGUGUAUUCCUGUGUGUGUGUGUGUGUUUGUGUUCACGUGCACAUGUGCAUAUGUAUGCAUAUAUGUGUGAAUGCUGCAGAACUGUAAAAGACCAAAGGGCAACAGCAGGUGUCAGUCCUCUCCUCUCACCCAGCUUGAGAUAGGGUCUCUUUUCUUGUUCUGUCACCGUGUUCUUCAGGCUGACUGGCCCGUGAGCUUCCAGUGGUUCCUCUCAUCUUGCAGUCGGAAGCAGAGAUUAAGGCUAUGCGCUACCGUAUUCUGGGGGAUCAAACUCUCAUUUUUAUGCUUGAGUGACAAGUACUUUAACCAUAGAACCAUUUCUCCAAACCUCAAGGUAUUUUAAAUAAAAAGAUAUACAAGAAUCUAACACGAUGGGAGGCUGAAUUUUAAUGCAGACCAGCAGUCCUAUGUCCAUUGUGUGGUUCUCCUUCAGUUCUUCAUCGUCGUCGUUUUCUUCUUCCUCCUCUUCCUCCUCCUCUUCCUCCUCCGCUUCUUUCUUCUUCUUUGGUUUGUUUGCUCAAGGCAGUUCCUCUCUGUGUAGCCUUGACUGUCAAGGCUUGUUUUGUAGACCAGGCUGGCCUCAAACUGAGAGAUUUGACUGCUUUUGCCUCUCUAGUGCUGGGAUUAAAGGGGUGUGCCAUCACUGCCCUGUAAGAUGUGUAGCUAGGCUGGCCUCGAACUUGUGAUCUUCCUGGCUCUACCUCCCUCAGCAAAUCCUACCAGUGUGCACCAACACAAUCAGCUCCUUCCUGCUUUUUAAUGUGAACGAUUGGUUGAAGAUGAUGGGUUUCCAACUGAAGCAGCUACUAUGCAGGUUAGGAUCAACAGGUGUGGCAUACAGUGUGGCCAGACAGGCAGAUCUUCAUCUGACUUUGAUCUUGGCCACUGUCCAGUCUUAAACGAUCCUCACACUUCUCAGAGCUCCUCUUAUUUAUGAGGUGGGCGAUUAGACUGGAUAGCUACCUGGAAUAGUCCAGCUCUGGCUGCUCAUCACAGUCUGCAUGAGGAUCCUGAACACCAUCCUGUUUUGCUACGGCUCCCUGUGCUCCAGAACCAUGUGUCUGGUCACAUGGUAUCCUUUCUAGACCCACUCCUUACCGUUCUCUUGUAAAUCAUUUGUUGUGUCACGUAUGAUGAGUCACAGAUGAGUGCCACGUCCUCCCUGUUUUUUUCCUUCAUGAUUUCAAUGGCAAACUUGAUAUUUUGGCUCCUAAACUAAACAGAGAUAAAUCCUUUCCUAGCAUAUGCCUGUUUACUGACACAUUAGAAGGAGUUGACUUUUAUACCAUGACUGUGAAAGGAUGAUUGAUUCCUUAGUCUUGCUUUCAAGAAAGUCUGGUGUAGAUGAAAGACCUUCAGGGCCCCUUUAUAACCCCUAAGAGGAAAAGAAAUGUAUGUUUCUGAGACUGAGAAUCUGGGCAAGUUUUGAAGUGUUUUAAUAAGAAAACAAAUAUCCAAGGGAAGAAGAAUAUCUAACUUUCUUCUUUUUGCUUUCUUUCCUAGGGUAUAUUUCAUCCUACACAGAGUUGCUCAAAAGUACUGUGGCUCUUUUAAAAGGGGAGCCACAGAGCUUGGACUCCCGUGUGGAGCAGUGUGAGCCCAGGGCAGGUGUUUCUCAGGAGCGCCGUGCAAAGCUGCAUGAGUCAGCUUGGUAGCUGGCUUGCUUCAUGGCUCAGAAAACAAUGAAGUACUGGAGGGAGGCUGUGGGGAGAGCAUCAGCAAAGAACCCCACUGUUUUUAAGUUUUUUUAAGACCUAGGAACAAUGGAAGAUGAACGAAUGUAAGGAUAGGUGGACUGGAACAAAGACAGAAGUUAGGUCCCUCCCUGAAACAGGAUGGAAAGCAUGGUGUUCUGAAAGUAAGGAAUGUCAAAUGUGGCUAGACAAAAACCCAUCACAAUCAAUAUCAUCGGGCUACAAAAGGAGUCUACUUGUCUACAGUGUACAGAACAGGCUGAGGUCACACUUUUCUUGAAGCCUCAUGUGAUGGAAGGGGCAAAGGAACUCUCUAGGAGAUUUUCUUUGUAAGGUUACCAGGUAGUGCCCUCAACAGAGAUCAUUUCUACCCAGUGCCUCAUCUCCCAACAUCAGUACAUUUGGAAUUUGGACCCAACACGUGAAUUUUGGGAAGAAGAACUUUUGGAAGAGGACAGAAGAGAGUUUCUGUCAUCUGGAAUAGGGACUCCUGUGUGAAGCUGGGAACUCCUGGGUUGCUGUUGUUAGUGUGAAGUCGGUGAACUGAAGAACUGCCUGGUGGACCUAAAGAAUUCAGGAGGAUCCUGUUGUGGCAUCUCACUUGCUGGCAAGUCGGACGUCCCACAAAAUGGUGCCGAAACCCGGGAAGUAACAUCUUCAGGCACGAGCGAAGACCCCCUGUUACAGGAAGGACUCAGAACUGCAUCACGGGGAUUGAGCGGUUAAUGAAGUGUUCCCAUAAAGCAGUCUGUUGAGAAGUAUUCAACUGCGUGGAUUCAGAACUCUUCAGCUGGGGAACAGGGGUACCAGUAAGUAAUAAGAAAUUAAUGUAAGUCUCUGAGAGGUAUGCUUUCCUACGCAGUAGGUCCAGUAAUUGUCGCUGGGGUUGUGUCUAGAAGCAGAUUCUGGGCCAGGGUCCACAUUUCAAACUAUGCCUGGAGGGACUAACACCUUCCUCAGAGCCUGUGUGCAGGGCUGGAAGGUCUGAUGAUUUUAUGGGCUGUCCUGACAGAGAUUAUUGGAGACUCCUUUGGUCUGCUGAUGUGAGUUGAACCAGGGAUGGUGAAAACCAGGGGACAGAGAAGGGUAACUAGGGGCCUGAGUGUCAGCUCCAAGUCCCUUCUCCCUGGAUGAUUUUUCAGGAGCCUUGAGCUCAGUCUAGUUACAGAAUCUUCUUCACCAUCUGCUAGUUAUAACACUCCUAAACCCUUGAGCUGAUGCCUGAGAGGAGUGGUUGUCUGGGAGGAUUUGGAGGAAGGCACAUGCAUGAAGACGAAUGGCCAUUUAAUCGUGAGUAAGAGAUGAAGAGAUGGGAGGAGGUUUGUCUGGGAGGAGGCAAUGAUCUGGUUGAUGAUUCUUUUGCUUCUAGAGGGAGAUUUUGGAACUACUGGGCAAUGCCUCUGGUACUCUAUUGUUCUAUCAAACCUCAUCCUGGCCCUGUGACUUGGGCUCCAAAUUUCCUCCCCUUGUCGUUAUAGAGCAGGCAAGUUGCACAACAUGUAUAUCAAACCCUGUCUCUCAGACCACACUUCCUUUUUGGUCCCCAAUGAGUAGAAGAAAUAACUCACUAUAGAAAUUGUUAUGCUGGGGGUGUGGCAUAGUGAUGACGAUACUGAUGAUGAUGUUGGCAAAGGAAAUGAACAAAGCAAAAGAGGAAGUCGGCAAAGCCAGGAUGGUGACGGGCACUCUAGCUUUUGGGGAACUUUUCAGCUCUUGACUCACUCAGCACUUUUAAGCUGUAAGGUUCCCUCUGUUCUGACAUCUCAUUCCUCCAAGAUGGAGGCAGGCAUUUCUUCAAAGCUGAAAGUGCCUUGCUACCUGUUUUACUUACUUUCUAUUGCUGUGAUAACCAUGACUACUGUGCAGCCCAGACUGGCUUCAAGUACAUGACAAUUCUCCUGCAUUUGUCUCCCAAGGACUGAGAUUACAGGCACGAGCUCCCAGGCCCAGUUGAUGUAUGUGUUCUACAUCUUCUUUACUUAUCCUCUUGCUCAGAACAGAGCUAAGCAAUGACUGUCCUCAUUACUUUCUCCAGACCUUGUCUUAUUCCUUAAGUUGACGACUUAGCACAGGCCUUAGGGGUCUGUUCUUUCCCUCUCAUCUUUUCUGUCCUGGUUAGUUUUAUGUCAACUAGACACAAGCUAGAAUCAUCAGAGAGAAGGGAGCCUUAACUGACAAAAUACAUCCAAAAGAUCUGUCUGUAGGCAAGCCUGUAGGAAAUUUUAUUAAUUGGUAUUUACUUGGGGAGAAAUCAGCCUGUUGUGGGUGGUGCCAUCCCUGGGCUGGUGGUCCUGGGUUCUAUAAGAAAGUAGGUUGACAAGCCAUGAGGAGCAAGCCAGUGAGCAGCAUCCCUCCAUGAUCGCUGCAUCAGCUCCUGGUUCCAGGUUCCUGCCUUGCUUGAGUUCCUGUCCUGACUUCCUUUGAUGAUAAACUGUGAUGUGGAAAUGUAAGCAGAAUACAUCCUUUCCUCCCCAAGUUGCUUUGAUCAUGGAGUUUCAUUAUAGUAAUAGUAACCUAAAUGAAAAUGAAUUGGCACCAAGAUUUACUGUGACAUGACUGUGACAGACCUGAGCAUAUUGUUUUGGAAGGACUUUGUACAAGAAAACCCAUAGAGUGGUCAAUUCUUGGUGAGCUGUUCCUAGGAACUUGGAAGAUAGGGACGUUGAGGGCAACACAAAGAUGGAGGCCUGACUUGUGAAGCUUCAGAAGGAAGCUUAAAGACUUCUUCAGGGCCAUUUGUUAUAUUGAAUUAAGAUUCCGUGAUAACAUAAUAUCUCAUUAGCUGGGGCUGAAGAAUAGGCAUCGAUAAACAAGAUUCCAGAACCACUAAAAAUGAAACCUUUGCUUUGCUUAGAUACUCAGUGCUGGUGAGCUGGAGCUGAGAAAUUAGCAGUGACUAAGAAAAGUCCAGCAUUAUUGAGGUGAAAUCUUCUGGGAAGUGUUUUCUGAGAGCACACAGAAGCUGUUUUCCAGAGAUGGCCAAAGUUGUAUUUCUCCACUGGCAGCCAAAUUUGGUCCUGUGGAAGAGCCACCCAGGUGACACUGGUUCAUGGAAGAGCAGCUGAGUCUUGGCACUGACAAUACAGCCUCAGUGGCAGCUGAAGGCCCAGGAUUGAAAGGGUCAUACAGAGAAGUUGAGGCUUGUCACCAUGAAGAGAGCCCAGGAGAGUACUGGUAUAAGUCCAGCCCAGUUGCAGCAGAAGACCCCAGCAUUUUGGAGAUGCAAGUACCAUGGGAUGACCAUCAAGAACAGCAGCAGCAGUGGAGUGGAGCCAGCCAAAUCCUAAAAGACAAGCUGUUUGUGCUACAAAGGGCUGAGCUGCAGAAGUAACUCAAGCCCCUUAGAGGAUCCCAGAAGAUCUUGAGUGCAUCUUUGACGUUGGAACAUGCACUAUUUACAUUUUUGGAGUUUGGUUUUGCUUUGCUUUGAUUGCGAUUUUGACCUAGUUCUUCUCUCUUGAAAUAUAAUUUAUUUUUGAUUUUACAGAAGUCCAAAGUUGAGAGACUGAAUUUUAAAAGAGAUUGAUUAUUUUAAAGAGAGAGAACUUUUAAUGUAUUUGAAUUUGUGAGGAUUGUGGGACCUUUAAGUUGUUAAUGUUUUAUAUUGUGAUAUAAAUAUUAACAUAACAUCUUGGGGAUAAAUGAGAAAAGAAAGGUUCUAAUUAAAAAGUGAUAAGUUGGGCCUUGAGCUCAGCAAUUUAGAGCACUGGCUGCUUAUCCAGAGGUCCUGAGUUCAAGUCCCAGCACCCACAUGGUGGCUAACAGUAUCUGUAACAGUAGUCCCAUGGGAUUUAAUAAACUCUUCUAGUGUGUAGGAGUACAUGCAGACAAAAACACCCAUAUACAUAAAAUAUAUAAAUAAAUAAAUCUUUGCAUAGCUCCUGAGCCAUGAUUAGAACAACACCUCACAAAGCCCCAGCAACAUAUGAAGCCAAGCAGUGCUGCUCUUGUGGUUCAACAGAGAGUCCUCGAAGAGACUCUGCACACCUUCUCCCAGGAGGGCAGCCAGGGACACUUCAGUAUGCACACAUGGACAGGAUGACCUGGUCUUGGAGUUGGCCUUCUUGUGAAACUUGUCUUCAUUUGGGGGUUCCCUAAAGAGAAAUACAGAAGAGCAAUGCAAAAGUAUUGAUUGAAAAAAAAAUGUCAAGAGGCACAUUUUCAGGUAACGUGGGUCUGGGCUCGUGGCAAGCUGUGUCAAGGUGAGUCUGACACGAAGGGGUAGAGGAGCUGAGGAAGCUGAUGCUUAGGGGAAAGAAAGCCAGAUGGCCUCAGGUUUCCCACGUGAACUGGGAUGAGUCAGCAGAUGAGUAGCUGUCUGGUCCCCUGCACCUGGAAUGGCAUUUGAUGGAUUAGGACUUUGUUUUCGUUUUGGCAGGUGGUGCUGUCUACAUGCUGAGUUUUACAGCCUGAAUGGCAUUUCCAUCAUGGGAUCAGUUGUUUUAAGGUCUGGGGCCUACUAAGGUCUGAGAACCUGUUACAGUCAGCAGCAGCACUUGGAAGAUUGGACCCGACAAGACACUACUCUCAGAAAAGCCGUGUCCCAGAGGAUGGAGUGGGAAUAAGAGGAAAGCAGAGGUCAGCCCAAGGAAAAGAAGUCUCUGUCUGUGAGCGGGGGCUGCUUCCCAGAAAAGACAACACCCAGUGACCUACUUAGCAAAUGGAAACACAAACCAGAGAAAUCAGCCAAGGUCAUGGAUACACAGCCUCUCCUGACCAGCUAACUCCAGGUGUUCAGAGCAAGAACAAAAUGUGCUGACAUGAGGGAGUUCCCUUAAACUUCCCUGGGCAACAAAUCACAGACUGUUGAAUUUCUUGCUUUUCUAAGACUUUGUUAAAUAAAUGGCAGCAGCAAGCUGAGGUCCAGUCUAUAUGUGCUUUCCUGGUUUGGAUGAAGGCAACAUCUAAGAACAGCUCUUCCCCGGCCUUUAAAACAAAAUUUUCCCGAAGUUAAAAGAGAGAAAUACAUUCUUCCUGCUGGAUAUCACAUUUAAAGGUUAUGUAACUCAUCUACCCAGAAUUGAAGCUGUGGGGAGGGGUCACA